GCUCAACAGCUCCACCCUCCACUGCUGUUCACCCAUGACACGUCACUUCCCACCCGCCACUGCUGGCUCACCUGUGACACCCCAGGCAGCUCAGAUGCCCGGCAGGUCCUGCUGGUAAGAGGGAGGCAGGAACUUGUCCUGUCUGGGACCCGGGCAUUGCUGGGCGCCGGAGGGACCUGGGACCUCAACCACGCUGGGAGCUGGCCUGUCGUACAGGCGGUGCCUGGCAGAUGUGGACGGGCUCCGCAGGCUCCUGGCGGCCCACCCCUGCCUUCGUGCCAUCCUUCCUGGGAGUCUCCUGGCCAAGGAGGACUCGAGGCCUGUCCCACCUGUGCCCAGGGCUCACUGUGGCUCCCUUCAGCGGGGCUCUGCUCUCUCCCCGCCUGCUUCCCCUCCAGCUCCUGGGCUCUGCCCCAGCAUCCCCCCGAGCCUCUCCCAUUCCUGGCCCCAGCCUGGCCAGGGAUCCCAGAGGAUGCCUUCACCAGCCCAGCCCCUUGCCUGGUGGAUCACCACUCCUGUCUCCUGCUGCUCUGCCCCCUGCCCCGGGCCUGGGAAACCUGGGAGGACCCUGAGGGAGGGUCAGGGAUGUGUGACACCAGCAGGAGGCUGACGAGUUCCCUGGCAGGAAGCACACUGCACAGGGAGCCUGCCGCCAUGCUGCCACUCUCAUGCCCCUGCGGGGCCGCAGAGAGGGAUGCCUAG
rnacentral:lncRNA from 1 species